GACGAACGCUGGCGGCGUGCUUAACACAUGCAAGUCGAACGGAAAGGCCCUGCUUUUGUGGGGUGCUCGAGUGGCGAACGGGUGAGUAACACGUGAGUAACCUGCCCUUGACUUUGGGAUAACUUCAGGAAACUGGGGCUAAUACCGGAUAGGAGCUCCUGCUGCAUGGUGGGGGUUGGAAAGUUUCGGCGGUUGGGGAUGGACUCGCGGCUUAUCAGCUUGUUGGUGGGGUAGUGGCUUACCAAGGCUUUGACGGGUAGCCGGCCUGAGAGGGUGACCGGCCACAUUGGGAUGGGGAACGGGCCCGGACUCCUACGGGAGGAAGCGGGGGGGAAUAUUGCACAAUGGGCGGAGGCCUGAUGCAGAAACGCCGGGUGGGGGAGGCCGGCCUUCGGGUUGUAAACCGUUUUCGCCUGUGACGAAGCGUGAGUGAGGGUAAUGGGUAAAGAAGCACCGGCUAACUACGU
rnacentral:rRNA from 1 species